rnacentral:rRNA from 1 species
AGUGAACGCUGGCGGUAGGCCUAACACAUGCAAGUCGAACGGCAGCACAGUAAGAGCUUGCUCUUACGGGUGGCGAGUGGCGGACGGGUGAGGAAUACAUCGGAAUCUACUUUUUCGUGGGGGAUAACGUAGGGAAACUUACGCUAAUACCGCAUACGACCUACGGUUGAAAGCAGGGGAUCUUCGGACCUUGCGCGAUUGAAUGCGCCGAUGUCGGAUUAGCUAGUUGGCGGGGUAAAGGCCCACCAAGGCGACGAUCCGUAGCUGGUCUGAGAGGAUGAUCAGCCACACUGGAACGGAGACACGGUCCAGACUCCUACGGGAGGCAGCAGUGGGGAAUAUUGGACAAUGGGCGCAAGCCUGAUCCAGCCAUACCGCGUGGGUGAAGAAGGCCUUCGGGUUGUAAAGCCCUUUUGUUGGGAAAGAAAAGCAGCAGGUUAAUACCCCGCUGUUCUGACGGUACCCAAAGAAUAAGCACCGGCUAACUUCGUG